UACGUAGGGACCAAGCGUUGUUCGGAUUUACUGGGCGUAAAGGGCGCGUAGGCGGCAAUUCAAGUCAUCUGUGAAAUCUCCGGGCUUAACUCGGAACGGUCAGAUGAUACUGCUUUGCUAGAGUGCGGAAGGGGCAAUCGGAAUCGUUCGUCGGUAGUCGACGGAAUGAAUCGUAGAUAUCGAGAGGAACACCUGAGGUGAAGACGGGUUGCUGGGCCGACACUGACGCUGAGUGCGCGAAAGCCAGGGGAGCAAACGGG
rnacentral:rRNA from 1 species